GCGCCGCUAGCUCAGUGGAUAGAGUAACCGGCUACGAACCGGUAGGUCGUGGGUUCAAAUCCCUCGCGGCGUG
rnacentral:tRNA from 1 species